CAACAGGGAUUCCCUCAGUAAGGGCGACUGAACCGGGAAGAGCUCAGCGCAUAAGCUCGUGUCCCUUAAACGGGCCACGAGCGGUGUUGCGUUUCAGAGGGUCCAGCACGCCGUCCCAUACCGCCUAAGUCAAGCUGGAACGCGGCCACUACCCACGGAGGGUGAAAGGCCCGUAUGGCGGCGCCCGUGAGGGUAGAGAUGGGGCGGUCGGAAAGGGCCUCUCUGUAGAGUCGGGUUGCUUGAAAGUGCAGCCCUAAGUAGGUGGUAAACUCCAUCUAAGGCUAAAUAUGACCACGAGACCGAUAGCGAACAAG
rnacentral:rRNA from 1 species